rnacentral:rRNA from 1 species
UACGUAGGGGGCAAGCGUUGUCCGGAUUUAUUGGGCGUAAAGAGCGUGUAGGCGGCCAUGCAGGUCAGCUGUGAAAACUCGAGGCUCAACCUCGAGACGUCGGUUGAAACCGCAUGGCUAGAGUCCGGAAGAGGAGAGUGGAAUUCCCGGUGUAGCGGUGAAAUGCGCAGAUAUCGGGAAGAACACCCAUGGCGAAGGCAGCUCUCUGGGACGGUACUGACGCUGAGACGCGAAAGCGUGGGGAGCGAACAGG